CUCAGCAAAUGCUGAGGAUAUCUCGCUGGGGCCUCCAAAUGUUACGGUGCCCGCGAGUUAAUUUCGAGACAGCCAAAUAGAAUUUGAAAGAGCCUUUAUUAG
rnacentral:miRNA from 1 species